rnacentral:rRNA from 1 species
AUUGAACGCUGGCGGCAGGCCUAACACAUGCAAGUCGAACGAGUGGCGGACGGGUGAGUAAUGUCUGGGAAACUGCCCGAUGGAGGGGGAUAACUAAUGGAAACGGUAGCUAAUACAGCAUACCAUCGGAUGUGCCCAGAUGGGAUUAGCUAGUAGGUGGGGUAACGGCGAACCUAGGCGACGAUCCCUAGCUGGUCUGAUAGGAUGACCAGCAAAACUGGAACUUAGACACGGUCCAGACUCCUACGGGAGGCAGCAGUGGGGAAUAUUGCACAAGGGGCGCAAGCCUGAUGCAGCCAUGCCGCGUGGAUGAAGAAGGCCUUCGGGUUGUAAAGUACUUUCAGCGAGGAGGCGUUACUCGCAGAAGAAGCACCGGCUAACUCCGUGCCAGCAGCCGCGGUAAUAC